AUUGGGUUGGCCCAAAAGUUCGUUUGGGUUUUUCCGUAUCAUCUUAAUGAAGAACGUGAGUGAACUUUUGGGCCAACCCA
rnacentral:miRNA from 1 species